UGGCCAAUCCUUACCCUAGUUGUAUAUGCAUGUAUACACACACAAACAUACAAACCUUGCAACUUGCCAUUCAUACAUAGGUUUGCAU
rnacentral:SRP_RNA from 1 species